GAUAGGUCGCUGUCGUUACUGUGAUUGGACACUGACACUGAGUCAACUAGCCUAAGUCGCGCGGUUCUUCGCGCGCAGAACCGAGGACGGUCCGAGCCACGAGGGGGGAGGCUCGGACCGUCCGCA
rfam:Streptomyces gancidicus BKS 13-15 Contig0085, whole genome shotgun sequence.